rnacentral:rRNA from 1 species
AUUGAACGCUGGCGGCAUGCCUUACACAUGCAAGUCGAACGGUAACGGGCCUUCGGGUGCCGACGAGUGGCGCACGGGUGAGUAAUACAUCGGAACGUGCCCGAUCGUGGGGGAUAACGAGGCGAAAGCUUUGCUAAUACCGCAUACGAUCUACGGAUGAAAGCAGGGGACCGCAAGGCCUUGCGCGGACGGAGCGGCCGAUGGCAGAUUAGGUAGUUGGUGGGAUAAAAGCUUACCAAGCCGACGAUCUGUAGCUGGUCUGAGAGGAUGAUCAGCCACACUGGGACUGAGACACGGCCCAGACUCCUACGGGAGGCAGCAGUGGGGAAUUUUGGACAAUGGGCGCAAGCCUGAUCCAGCCAUGCCGCGUGCAGGAUGAAGGCCUUCGGGUUGUAAACUGCUUUUGUACGGAACGAAAAGCCUUCUUUUAAUACAGGAGGGUCAUGACGGUACCGUAAGAAUAAGCACCGGCUGACUACGUG